CGUAAAGCGUCUUCAACUGACGCAACGGAUCCUAUAAAAGAUUGUGUGCCGCUCAAGUCGUUCUCUUUUCCUCCUACAUCUCUUCAGUGCUUCAAGCGGAAAUGCAGGAAAUUUCGUGUAACCGGAAAUCUAAAUGGGACAGGCAUCAAUUAUCCUACAGUGACUACUGCCACUCUGGUACAGGAGGUAUUGGCAGUUUCCUGCGACUAUCUUGGUAUUCUGUCUUGAUAUGCCGUAAUCCCACAAUUUAAUGGUUCUGCUACAGCAGUGCAUGACCUCCUAAUGUGGGGGUUGAGCUGCAAUACAGCAACCAGGUCAUAGUGAUGGCAAGAGCACAAGACACAAAUUUGUGUAAGUGAAACAUCAGGGUGAUGCAGAUCAGAAACUAGUUUGAGUCUGCACCGAUCUGCGACUGGCUUGGCCACACUUGCCUGACCUGGUAUGUCUGACGCCACCAAGUUGUGACUCAAACAGUCCUGUAGCACCCUGAUUCCCUGGUCCAGGUCUGGAAGGAGAUACACCAGAAGAGCCUCUGUCUCAUCAGGAGUAUGCCGUGACUUGGGCAACAAGUUGCUCCAAAUGCUGCUGGUUAAUCUUCAGGGUUUCAUGCAAUGUUAAUACUAUGGUGACCUGCAUAGUCACAUUUUGUUAUAUUUAGGUCUCAGAAUAUAGAUGGUUAAUGUAAUGUCAAGCCAUUUCUGUUCAGUAAUAAAGUGAAUUUGUUACAGUUUGA